AGCGAACGCUGGCGGCAGGCCUAACACAUGCAAGUCGAACGGAUCCUUCGGGAUUAGUGGCGGACGGGUGAGUAACACGUGGGAACGUGCCCUUUGGUUCGGAACAACUCAGGGAAACUUGAGCUAAUACCGGAUGUGCCCUUCGGGGGAAAGAUUUAUCGCCAUUGGAGCGGCCCGCGUCUGAUUAGCUAGUUGGUGGGGUAAAGGCCCACCAAGGCGACGAUCAGUAGCUGGUCUGAGAGGAUGAUCAGCCACAUUGGGACUGAGACACGGCCCAAACUCCUACGGGAGGCAGCAGUGGGGAAUCUUGCGCAAUGGGCGAAAGCCUGACGCAGCCAUGCCGCGUGAAUGAUGAAGGUCUUAGGAUUGUAAAAUUCUUUCACCGGGGACGAUAAUGACGGUACCCGGAGAAGAAACCCCGGCUAACUUCGUGCCAGCCGCCGCCGUAACAC
rnacentral:rRNA from 1 species